UACAGGGGAUGCACGCUGUCAUCGGAAGAACUGGGCGUAAAAAGCGCGUAGGUUGAUAAUUAAGUUGGAUGUGAAAGCCCCGGGCUCAACCUGGGAUGGUCAUUCAAGACUGGUUAUCUAGCGUAUGGUAGAGGGACGUGGAAUUUCCGGUGUAGCGGUGAAAUGCGUAGAUAUCGGAAGGAACACCAGUGGCGAAGGCGGCUUCCCGGACGAAUACAGACUCUGAGGCGCGAAAGCGUGGGGAGCAAACAGG
rnacentral:rRNA from 1 species